UACGUAGGGUGCGAGCGUUAAUCGGAAUUACUGGGCGUAAAGCGUGCGCAGGCGUCCGUUAAGACAGUUGUGAAAUCCCCGGGCUCAACCUGGGAACUGCAUCUGUGACUGCAUCGCUGGAGUGCGGCAGAGGGGGGAUGGAAUUCCGCGUGUAGCAGUGAAAUGCGUAGAUAUGCGGAGGAACACCGAUGGCGAAGGCAAUCCCCUGGGCCUGCACUGACGCUCAUGCACGAAAAGCGUGGGGGAGCAAACAGG
rnacentral:rRNA from 1 species